UUAGGUGGUAAACUUCAUCUAAGACUAAAUAUCACUACGAAUCCGAUAGCAAACAAGUACCGUGAGGGAAAGUUGAAAAGCACUUUGAAGAGAGAGUUAAACAGCACGUGAAAUCGGUAAGGUGGAAACGAAUAGAGAUGACGUAUCUGAGCCGUAUUCAGCCGGCGUCGGUGAUCCACGCGUAGCGUCGCCGGCGACGCGUCGUCGUCGUCGGCCUUCGACGCUAGGCGGGUGGGACGCUAACGCCGGUGCACUUGCGGCUCUAUGUGCGCCGGGACAGACGCGCGUGUGCGGGCGUUGUUGUUGCCCAACAACGUCCSACGCCAUAUUUGCCGGUCGAUCGGCGCGUUGAGACGAGGAUGCGCGCCUCACGGCGCGUAAAACCGGCUCCACGCCGCCGGUCGGUCCCGCGUGUCUGCGGUAUGUGUACGCGUUCGGUUAUGCGCGGUCGGCGAAUCGCCAUUCUCCCCCACAUAUGGCGGUCGCAUGCGACACGCGUAUGGCGUUUGGUUUUUUUUCGCAAGAAAAAAAAUUCGGGGAGAUGUCGGCCGUACCGCGUCGCCGUGCGCGAUUUCCCGACGUAAAAGUCGUUCAUCUAUUCGACCCGUCUUGAAACACGGACCAAGGAGUUUAACGUAUGCGCGAGUCAUUGAGCGUUGAAAACUCAAAGGCGUAAUGAAAGUGAAUACGCACCCGGAUGCGUUGAUACGCGACCGGCAGCUGGUGGGCGCGCGCCGUAGUGCGCCCGCCGUACGCCGUCGAGCAGCGUAGCCCCGUUCUUGUCGCCUAGCGACGGGGCGGCGGAAGAGCGUAUGCGUUGAGACCCGAAAGAUGGUGAACUAUGCUUGAGCAGGACGAAGUCAGAGGAAACUCUGAUGGAAG
rnacentral:rRNA from 1 species